UAAGACGAACCGUGCGAACGUUGUUCGGAAUCACUGGGCUUAAAGGGCGCGUAGGCGGGCCGCCAAGUCAGGGGUGAAAUCGUUCGGCUUAACCGGACAAGUGCCUCUGAUACUGGCGGCCUCGAGGGAGGUAGGGGUCUGCGGAACUUCCGGUGGAGCGGUGAAAUGCGUAGAUAUCGGAAGGAACGCCGGUGGCGAAAGCGGCGGACUGGACCUCUUCUGACGCUGAGGCGCGAAAGCCAGGGGAGCGAACGGGAUUAGAUACCCCGGUAGUCCUGGCCCUAAACGUUGGGCACUAGGUUGUGGGCUUGACAUGGGCUCACAGCCGAAGCAAAAGUGUUAAGUGCCCCGCCUGGGGAGUAUGGUCGCAAGGCUG
rnacentral:rRNA from 1 species